GAUGCAGGGGACGCGGCUGCUACGCCGGGGCAGGUCGGGGAGGUCGGUGUGGCGACUCAUCAUCUUCUCACGGAGCCACUUGGACAGCUCCUUGGGGCCAAACAACACCAGGCGGAGAACGAGCUGCUGGCACUUCUAGAACCCGACGUUCCUCCGCUGCGUCAGAUCUUGCCGCAGCUACCCGCGGACUAGCCGAUACAGCCGCUCCUCCGCCACCUCGACCUCGUGCUUCAACUGGCGGUGCCGGAGCGGGCCGCACUAGACCUCGUAGGUGCCCACCUGGAGCAACUCCGACAACCGCCGCUGGGGCGCCUUCCUCUUAGCCUGCGCCUGCCUCGCGCGCUCCAGCCGCUCCGCCUCUGGCUCUAGCGCCUCGAGCAGUGCCGGACCACGCAGCCACUUCACUUGCCGCUGCGCCGGCUACGGCCUCCGCCAGCUCUGCCGGCGCUCGCUCCGCAACAGUAGCCGGUCCACGCGCCGGCGCUCGCGCACCAGCGGGCGGAGCUUCCGCGGGCGCGUCGAGUACUCCUCCACCGGCGCUCGCGCACUAGCCGAUCCACGCGCUGCCGUAGCCGGUCCACGCGCGGGCGCGGUCCACGCGGCGUACCGGUCGAGCCGCCGCUGGCGUAGGGCACUGCCCUUACCGCGACGUUGGUGCCGGUACCGUCGCUCAACGCCGGGUCGCACGCCUAGGCGGACUCAACGAAGUGGUGCCACUGUAGGUAGCAACCAGAAGCCACAAGGCCAACCUAACUAAGACUCGACUGAAACAUACCAACGGGCGUAUGUUCGCCUACGCACAAACUAAAGCGGACUCAGUUGAGUUCGAGCAGGUGCUGGCGCCGCUCGGCCCGUGCCGGUGCUGGCGCCGCUCGGCCCGUGCCGGUGCCAGCGGCCCUCGACCACCACCCGUACUACCCGUCACCUUCGAGGCCGCGCGAGUUUCACAAAUUGCUUUACAGUUCGGGUUGGACUACCGACAAUUCAAAACAACAAUUACAACCAUUAGUAUACGACAUACGUUGGUUUGUGGCUCACUUUUAACGUAGAACUACUGUUCUGGGGUUACGUCCGUUGGUUAGUUGAACAUUAGAUACAAAAACUGGGACAAAAACGAAUACGUCCGGGUCGAGUCGGACCAAGCAAAAAGGGGAGACUCAGUCCGGGCCGUCGCUUUCGUUGGUUUAUGCGGGGUAUAACUAGGCACAGUUCCUGUGCACGGUGAAGAAGUUGCGCUCGGGACUUCCUUGGCUGCUGGUUGUAACCAACAAAACCGAAGUUAAGGUCCUAGGCGGCGUACCGCAGCAGGAAUCUCUGUUCGGUUCCGUCGAGUUUCUCGACGUAUUCUACCGCGCAAGCCGCUAUCUCCUAUACGGUUCAGAACACCGCGUUCCUCGGGCACGGUUGAUCGAUAAAACUCGACCACGCGGCGGAAGUUCUCCCUUCGCGGGUUUAGUCCUCCACCGUCGUUAGCCGUAAGGCGCUCCCUCGAGCCGUCCGGAUCCGACGGCACGUUCGGGUAAUAGGGUGCGACUUGGACUGCGGUUAGCGGUUCUUCACAGGAUAGUGGAUACCUGCUGUCACCGCUCCUCCAGGCCGGUGAAGGUUUCGGAUUCUAUCUCCACGUGUGUUCUCGCUACCCGUCUGCUACGAAUCUAUAUACCUCUAUAGAGUCUCAGUAACUGAGAUUACGUUCACCCCCCGACAUCCUCAUCAUGGGAUCUCCGUUGUGAUAUAGACCGAAUAUAUAAGUAUGCAAUCAGGUUACAUUAGUUGAAUUCAUGGACAGUAGUUCACACACUGAAAAAAAAACGACCCCACACACACUGAAAAAAAAACGACCCCACACACACUGAACUACCACCUUGGAACAUGAUUCAAUUCAAGUACGUACUAACAGGAAUCAGCUUUUACUAACACCUAACUG
rnacentral:rRNA from 1 species